rnacentral:lncRNA from 1 species
UAAACGCAAAACUUCUGUUCUCUGACUUCCAGGAGCUAGGCUGAGCAGUGGGGGUUUCAAUUAAAAACCACAGGAAAGGAAAGGAAUAUGUCAAUAAAACCACAGACUUAGACACAGAAAGUAUUUGGAUUCCGGACAAGUACUCAACCAGUGAUUGAAAGUGGAGAGAAGGACAAGUUGUUCUGUCAAAGGCUAGGUUGUCACAAUGCAACCGUGUCUGACUGUGGGAAAAGCUGCGACUGGCUCCCAUGGAGAAAUUUUCUACAGUGUUCCCCCCCAUUCCCAGAGGAAUUGUUUACAGCAAAAAUCUGCAGUCUCUGCUCAACUGUGCUACCCAGCAAAAAGGUUCAAGUCAAGUCUCUGGCUCACAAUGGCAAAAGGCUGCCUUGUGAUCAAAGCUUCAGCAGCCUUAAAGAGAGAGAAACCAGUCCCUUCAUUGAGGAGCUCUUUAGAGGCACGUGGGAUCAUUUCUGAAGCUGGGAGCACCUGGCUAAUGCUUUGCAGCAGAAGAUACGAGUUCCAUAUAAAUCCCGGUGCUGCUAGCUCUCUAUUCAGCCUGCACAGCUCAGUGAGGGUGUAUCUGGUGUUGUUUUUUGAAACAAUGCAUGUGGAAGUAUUGUAUUAGGAAGCUCAUCCAGAUUGUUAUCAUUAUCCAUCAAUUCAAAUGUUAUGUUCAUGAGAAGAGCCACAACCUGACCGUAGCUGAAAUGCCUUUAAUGCAGCUGCAGAGACUUAAAUCA